AUACUUACCUGGCAGGGGAGACACCAUGAUCAUGAAGGUGGUUUUCCCAGGAUGAGGCUUAUCCAUUGCACUCCGGAUGUGCUGACCCCUGUGAUCUCCCCAAAUGUGGGAAACUCAACUGCAUAUUUGCGGUCUUGGGAGACUACAUGCAUACUCUAC